ensembl:lncRNA novel transcript
GGGCGGAACUAGGAGUGCGCAGAUGUGGGCCAGAGCGGAUUUCCCCUUCCCCAGGCAAAUUCGGCGCCCACUGCGUCCCCGCAGGCCACUGACCUUAGAGGACUACUUGCCCGAGACUCGUGGGGCUGGAUGGGAAUCGUAGUCUUCCUAGGAGUUGUAGGUAUCUUUUUUUGGCCUAGUCUCUGCUCUCAAGAUAGGAGAACAUAACAACACUCCAAUCCAUUACUGUUGACAUGUAUAAGCCCGCGGAGGUCUCCAAUCUAUCCACUGGAUUUCCGUGAGAAUUGUGCCCGCUUUGGUAUUGGAUGUUCCUCUCCAUAAGACUACAGUUUCCAAGGAACAGUGUGGCCAAGGCCUUUCGUUCCGCAAUGCAUGUUGGAAAUAGUAGUUCUUUCCCUCCACCUCCCAACAAUCCUUUUAUUUACCUAAACUGGAGACCUCCAUUAGGGCGGAAAGAGUGGGGUAAUGGGACCUCUUCUUAAGACUGCUUUGGACACUAUCUUACGCUGAUAUUCAGGCCUCAGGUGGCGAUUCUGACCUUGGUACAGCAAUUACUGUGACGUAAUAAGCCGCAACUGGAAGCGUAGAGGCGAGAGGGCGGGCGCUUUACGGCGAACUCAGGUAGAAUUCUUCCUUUUCCGUCUCUUUCUUUUUAUGUCACCAGGGGAGGACUGGGUGGCCAACCCAGAGCCCCGAGAGAUGCUAGGCUCUUUCUGUCCCGCCCUUCCUCUGACUGUGUCUUGAUUUCCUAUUCUGAGAGGCUAUUGCUCAGCGGUUUCCGUGGCAACAGUAAAGCGUGGGAAUUACAGAUAAAUUAAAACUGUGGAACCCCUUUCCUCGGCUGCCGCCAAGGUGUUCGGUCCUUCCGAGGAAGCUAAGGCCGCGUUGGGGUGAGACCCUCACUUCAUCCGCUCUAAAACCAGCUCCAUCACUUGAAAUGGCAAAAUAAAUCAUGAAUGAGGCCGGGGGCUGUGGCUCACACCUGUAAUCCCAGCACUCUGGGGGGCCGAGGCAGGCAGAUCACGAGCUCGAUUUCUUGGUUCCCUGACUGGGAAGCGAGGUGAAUGGCGGAUGGUCAAGGCAGCUCCUUAGGCGGCUUAAACCUGCCCUGUGGAACAUCCCUGCAGGGGACUCCAACCAGCCCGAGCAACACGGAUCCUGAGGGCGCUCCUGGUUAGGCAUUUGCCCCACUGGGACGCCUCGCCAGAGCACUGUAUGGCAGGCCCCCAUGGAGGAUCAACGCAGUGGCUGAACACCGGGAAGGAACGGGCACUUGGAGUCUGGACAUCUAAAACUUGAAUUUCUAGUAAACCAGCACCAGCCUGAAGAUCACAUUCUCAUCGAAAGGUGGAAAGAAGAAAAACUCGAGCCAGCCUGGAAGGACCCUACCUUGUGUUGCUAACCACCAAGACUGCUGUUCGUACAGCAAAAAAGGAUGGACUCGUCACACCAGAAUCAAGAAAGUGCCACCCCCUCCAGAGUCAUGGGCCACAGUCCCAGAGGAAAACCCUGCCAAACUAAAGCUACGAAAAAUCUCUUUUCAUCUAUUCUAUUACUCUUCUUUCUUUCCUCGUGCUAUUGCUGACCAUCUAGUUAUUAACAUAACCAAGUCAAUUUCACCUCAAACUAUUGCAUUUAAUGCUUGCCUUGUUAUACCCUGUGGGGACUUGCCAAGUCAAAGACAGCUCUCUACUUCAGAAAAGUACUUCUGUCCCUCCUGACUCUCCUCAGACUGGACAUUAGUAAACUAGGACCAUUUAAUCCAGGGAGAUUUCGAUAAAGACCCCAGUGCCAACCAGGAGUCUUGUCCCCUGAUGUAGAGUUUUUAUGCCGUAGUUGGUCCAACGUUCUGUGGACCACUAAAGAGCAAGAAUGGACUGCCCCAACCAGUUUUUGUAAUUUCCUAAAACCAUACAUUCGUUUUACUAGAGGAUCAUAGAAGUUAAAGAGUUAAAACAAACUUUACCAAUGAAGACAGGAUACCAAGAUGCAAAUGCCUGGUUAAAAUGCAUCAAAUAUUCCAUCUGCACGUUAAACAAAAGCAAUUGUUAUGCUUGUGCACAUGGCAGGCCAGAGGCCCAGAUUGUCCCCUUUCCACUAAGGUGGUCCUCCAGUCGACCAGAUGUGGGCUGCCUGGUAGCUCUUUUCCAGGAUUCUACAGCCUGUAUUAAUAAGUCAUGCCAAGCUCUCUCUGCUAUAUCCCAAAGUCCAGCACCCUGCGGGUCAGCCCCCGAGGGCCAUCCAUCCUCCAUCUCCCAACACUAAGUUCACUUCAUGUCUCUCACAACAGGGAGGAAACUUAGCGUUCCUUGGAGACCUGAAAGGAUGCAGUUAGCUUAAGAAUUUUCAAGAGCUUAUCAAUCAGUCAGCCCUUGUUCAUCCCCGAGCAGAUGUGUGGUGGUAUUGUGGUGGACCUUUACUGGGCACUCUGCCAAAUAACUGGAGUGGCACUUGUACUUUAGUCCAAUUGGCUAUCCCUUUCACCCUGGCAUUUCAUCAACCAGAAGGAAAAAAAGAAAGACAUUGUAAAGCGAGAGAAGCCCCUUAUGGGUCUUUCGACUCUCAUGUCUAUUUAGAUGCAAUUGGAGUCCCACGAAGAAUACCAGAUCAAUUUAAAGCUUGAAAUCAAAUAGCUGCAGGAUUUAAGUCAAUAUUUUAGUGGGUGACAGUUAAUAAAAAUGUAGAUUAGAUAAACUACAUCUAUUACAACCAACAACAACGAGGUUUUCAUGAGUUAAAAGAAAACCUCAUGUUGGUCCCAGCCCUGAGGCUACCUGACCUGACAAAACUCUUUACACUCUAUGUGUCAGAAAGAGAAAAAAUGGCAGUUGGAGUUUUAACCCAUACUGUGAGGCCCUGGCCAAGGCCAGUGGCCUAUCUCUCAAAACAACUAGACAGGAUUUCCAAAGGCUGGCCCCCAGGUCUAAGGGCCCUAGCAGCAACAGCCCUGUUAGCACAAGAAGCAGAUAAACUAACCCUUAGGAAAACCUGAAUAUAAAGGCCCCCCAUGCUGUGGUAACUUUAAUGACUACCAAAGGACCUCAUUGGUUACAAAUGCUAGAUUAACCAAGUACCAAAGCUUGCUAUGUGAAAAUCCCCACAUAACCACUGAAGUUUGCAACACCCUAAACCCCACCACCUUGCUCCUGGUAUCAGAGAGCCUAGUUGAACAUACUGUGUAGAGGUGUUGGACUCAGUUUAUUCUAGCAGGCCCAACCUCCGAGACUAUCCUUAAACAUCAGUAGACUGUGAGGGGUACGUGGACGGGAGUAGCUUCGCCAACCCCUGCAAAGUGACUCUGAAGAAGACGACAAGCUCUGCUCCAGUCACACCCAGAAGCUGACUGGUCCACGCACGGCCGAAGCAUGAGAAAACUCAUUGCGGAACUCAUUUUCCUUAAAAUUUGGACUUUUACAGUAAGGACUUCAACUGACCUUCCUCAGACUGAGGACUGUUCCAGUGUAUACAUCAAGUCACUGAGGUAGGACAAAAGGUUGCUACAGUCCUAUUAUUUUAUGGUUAUUAUAAGUGUACUGGAACUCUAAAAAUAACUUGUUUGUAUAAUGUUAUUCUGUACAAGGUAUGUAGCCCAGGAAGUGACCAACCUGAUGUGUGUUAUGACCCAUCUGAGCCUCCCAUGACCACGGUUUUUAAAAUAAGAUUAAGGACUGAGGACUGGUGGGGGCUCAUAAAUGAUAUGAGUAAAGUGUUAGCCAAAACAGAAGAAAAAGGGGUGCCCAAACAAGUCACCUUAAAAUUUGAUGCCUGUGCUGUCAUUAAUAGUAAUAAGUUAGGAAUAAAGUGUGGUUCUCUUAAUUAGAAAAGAGGCUAUAUGGCAGAAAAUAAGUACAUCUGUCAUAAAUUAGGACUGUGUGGAAAUAAAUGUAAAUACUGGUCUUGUGUCAUUUAGGCCACUUGGAUUUAAAAAAAAUGAAAAGGAUCCAGUCCACCUUCAGAAAGGAAAAAAAUGGCCCUUCCUGUGCUAAGGGACAAUGUAACCCCUUAGAGCUAGUAAUAACCAAUCCCCUUGAUCCUCGCUGGAAAAAAGAGUAGCGUGUGACCUUAGGAAUCAAUGGGGCUGGACUGAAUCCCCGAGUAAAUAUCUUGGUUCGAGGAGAAGUUUACAAAUGCUCUCUUGAGCCAGUGUUUCAAACUUUCUAUGAUGAACUAAAUGUGCCAAUAACAGAAUUUCCAGGAAAAACAAGAAAUUUGUUUUUGCAAUUAGCCGAGCAUGUAGCCCAGUCUCUCACUGUCACUUCAUGUUAUGUAUGUGGAGGAACUGUAAUAGCAGAUCAAUGGCCAUGGGAAGCCCGAGAAUUAGUACCUACAGACCCAGUUCCUGAUGAAUUCCCAGCUCAAAAGAAUCACCCUGAUAAUUUCUGGGUCCUAAAAGCCUCAAUCAUUAGACAAUACUAUAUAGCAAGAGUGGAGAAGGACUUCACCCUUCCUGUAGGAAGACUACAUGGUGGAGUUCAAACCACACAGAGAAAAAUCCAUUCAGUAAAUUUCCAAAGUUGCAGACCGUUUAGGCCCACCCAGAAUCCCACCGGGACUGGACAGCCCCCACUGGGCUAUACUGGAUAUGUGGACAUAGAGCCUACACUAAGCUGCCUGACAAGUAGUUGUGUUAUUGGCACUAUUAAACCAUCUUUCUUCCUACUGUCCAUAAAAACAGGAGAACUCCUGGGCUUCCCUGUCUAUGCUUCCCGUGAAAAGCAUAGCUAUAAGAAAUUGAAACAAUGAUAAAUGGCCCCCUGAGAGAAUCAUACAGUAUUAUGGGCCUGCUACUUAGGCACAAGAUGGCUCGUGGGGAUACCGGAUCCCCAUUUAUAUGAUCAACUGAAUCAUACGGUUACAAGCUGUCUUAAAAAUAAUCACUGCAACCGGCAGAGCCUUGACUAUUCUGGCCCAGCAAGAAACUCAGAUGAGAAAUGCUAUCUAUCAAAAUAGAUUAGCUCUCGACUACUUGCUAGCAGCUGAAGGAGAGGUCUGUAGGAAAUUUAACCUUACUAAUUGCUGCCUACACAUAGAUAACCAAGGGCAAGUAGUUGAAGACAUAGUUAGAGAUAUGACAAAAGUGGCACAUGUGCCCGUGCAAGUGUGGCAUGGAUUUGAUCCUGGGGCCAUGUUUAGAAAAUGGUUCCCAGCGCUAGGAGGAUUUAAAACUCUUAUAAUAAGAGUUAUAAUAGUAAUAGGAACCUACUUACUGCUCCCUCGUUUGCUACCUGUACUUCUUCAAAUGAUAAAAAGCUUCAUCGCUACCUUAGUAUACCAAAAUGCAUCAGCACAAGUGUACUAUAUAAAUCACUAUUGAUCUGUCUAGCAAGAAGACAUGGGUAGUAAACAUGAAACAACUCCUGCUAUUGAGUGAGAGUCUCAAAGUGGGGGAAUAAGGGAGGAGACCACCCCUCAUAUUGUCUUAUGCCCAAUUUCUGCCUCCAAAGAAAGAAAAAGUAAAAACUAAAAGGCAGAAAUGAAAUCCACAAGCAGACAGCCCGGGCGCCACACCCUGGGACUGGUAGUUGAAAAUCAAUCCCGGACCUAAUCGGUUAUGUUAUCUAUAGAUUACAGACAUUGUAUAGAAAAGCAUUGUGAAAAUCUCAUUCCUGUUUUGUUCCAAUCUAAUUACUGGUGCGUGCAGCCCCCAGUCACGUACCCACGUACCUCCUGCUUGCUCAAUCGAUCACGACCCUCUCACGCACACCCCCUUAGACUUGUGAGUCCUUAAAAGGGACAGGAAUUGCUCACUCGGGGCGGGGGCUCGGCUCUUGAGACAGGAGUCUUGCUGAUGCCUCCGGCCUAAUAAACCCCUUCCUUCUUUAACUCGGUGUCUGAGGAGUUUUGUCUGCAGCUCGUCCUGCUACAGGUGAAACCCCAUCUCUACUAAAAAAAUACAAAAAAAUUAGCCAGGUGUGGUGGCGGGUGCCUGUAGUCCCAGCUGCUUGGGAGGCUGAGGCAGGAGAAUGGUGUGAGCCUGGGAGGCAGAGCUUGCAGUGAGCCGAGAUCAUGCCACUGCACUCCAGCC